rnacentral:rRNA from 1 species
CGAGCGAACAGACGAGGGCUUGCUCCUCGUGGACGUUAGCGGCGGACGGGUGAGUAACACGUGGAUAACCUACCUAUAAGAUGGGAUAACUUCGGGAAACCGGAGCUAAUACCGGAUAAUAUAUUGAACCGCAUGGUUCAAUAGUGAAAGACGGUUUUGCUGUCACUUAUAGAUGGAUCCGCGCCGCAUUAGCUAGUUGGUAAGGUAACGGCUUACCAAGGCAACGAUGCGUAGCCGACCUGAGAGGGUGGGCGGCCACACUGGAACUGAGACACGGUCCAGACUCCUACGGGAGGCAGCAGUAGGGAAUCUUCCGCGGGGGGCGAAAGCCUGACGGAGCAACGCCGCGUGAGUGAUGAAGGUCUUCGGAUCGUAAAACUCUGUUAUUAGGGAAGAACAAAUGUGUAAGUAACUAUGCACGUCUUGACGGUACCUAAUCAGAAAGCCACGGCUAACUACGUGCCAGCAGCCGCGGUAAUACGUAGGUGGCAAGCGUUAUCCGGAAUUAUUGGGCGUAAAGCGCGCGUAGGCGGUUUUUUAAGUCUGAUGUGAAAGCCCACGGCUCAACCGUGGAGGGUCAUUGGAAACUGGAAAACUUGAGUGCAGAAGAGGAAAGUGGAAUUCCAUGUGUAGCGGUGAAAUGCGCAGAGAUAUGGAGGAACACCAGUGGCGAAGGCGACUUUCUGGUCUGUAACUGACGCUGAUGUGCGAAAGCGUGGGGGAUCAAACAGGAUUAGAUACCCUGGUAGUCCACGCCGUAAACGAUGAGUGCUAAGUGUUAGGGGGUUUCCGCCCCUUAGUGCUGCAGCUAACGCAUUAAGCACUCCGCCUGGGGGAGUACGACCGCAAGGG